rnacentral:rRNA from 1 species
CAGUAGCCGCGGGAAUACGGAGGGUGCAAGCGUUAAUCGGAAUUACUGGGCGUAAAGCGCACGCAGGCGGUCUGACAAGUCAGAUGUGAAAUCCCCGGGCUUAACCUGGGAACUGCAUUUGAAACUGUCAGGCUGGAGUCUUGUAGAGGGGGGUGGAAUUCCAGGUGUAGCGGUGAAAUGCGUAGAGAUCUGGAGGAAUACCGGUGGCGAAGGCGGCCCCCUGGACAAAGACUGACGCUCAGGUGCGAAAGCGUGGGGAGCAAACAGGAUUAGAUACCCCUGUAGUCCCUGUCUCUUAUAC